rfam:Dipodomys ordii contig_37218, whole genome shotgun sequence.
UGGCUCAGUGGUAGAGCAUGUGCCUUGCAUGCAUGAGGCCCUGGGUUCGAUUCCUCAG